CCUCCAUUUCUUGGCGCAGACUUGUUUCUUCCAUACGAGUGUGUGUAAUGUACGGAGGCAGAGGAGUGUCAGUGCUAUGUCUUCGGUACCAGUGUGUUUAUUGUCUGCUGGUUCUAUCCUCAAUCACUGCGACAUGA